GGGGCUUUGGUUCUGUGGUAGAGCACCUGCUUUGAAUGCAGAAGGUCCCAGGUUGAAUUCCUGGAAUCUCCA
rnacentral:tRNA from 1 species